rnacentral:lncRNA from 1 species
CUUCAUUCAAAGGUCCUUCUGCUUCCGUUCUUAACUAAAAUUUACAUUUUCUUUAGAGCCAGGACUUCUGAACCUUCCUAAGUCGGGGCGGGGGGGCUGUUUCUCUCUUAUCCCCACUAUGGUCAGGAUAGGGGAAAGGGAGGGCGACAGCAUACUUUGCUCCUAUUUUGCCUCUUCCAGCCUUUGCUCCUCUGGCCUCCACUGCCGUGCCCCUUUGAUAAUUUUGGCAAAUUGCUCAAACUCCCUUUUCUUGACUGCUGAAUAGAGCUGCUGUCGAUUUACCCAAAUGAGAGCUCCGGUCCUCCCUCCUCACCUUUCCACCCACUCCGAAGCCCACCAGCUCGCUGGGAGACCUACAUUCACCUGCUUGAUCUAUUGAGUGUCCCCAAUCUCAAAGCCUUGUGAUUUGGUCAACUUCAAGGGCCUUUUACUUCUUUUCUUCUUCAGACAACCACAACCACAACCAUACUCUGGACUGCAAAGCCAGCUUUGGAAUGGCUUCAUCUUUGGAGUGUGGUUUGGACAGUCCACUUUCUUCAGGCUUCAGGAGAUAGAAUUCAGGACCUGGUGCUUGCAAGGCAGGUGUGGUGCACUGAGCUAUGUCCUGGCCCUUGUUUUAAUCUGUUUUUCACUGAUGAGUGAUCUUCUGGGGACAGGAAUCUAUUUUGCCUCAUAUGUGGUAGGUGCUCAUGGAUUGUUUAAUUAAUAAAAAUUUUCAUUUUUGUUGCAAAGCCAGCAGCUGUAGCCGUGGUGACACCGUGGCAAAGGACAUCUUGUGUUCCAAGUGUGCAGAGAUGCACGUCCGUGAGGUUGAGGGGCCCUGGACACAGCACUGACCCCUCUGCGUGUCCUGACCUGGCCUGCAGCGCUGGACUCAGGCCCACCCCUUCCUAAGCAGGACGAUGCUGUGAGCUUGUGUGUGCGGAUUAAAGCUCACACCUGCCCCGAACUCUAUGAAAGCCAUAAUUAAAGCUAGUUUUGGGUAAUCAUUGAAGAGGUUUACACAGUUUUACUCCUUUUCAUCAACUGUGUCAAAUAAUCAACUGUUUUCUUUUACGUUUUGAUAGGAAGAUAAUGACAUUUAGUCGGCCAGCUAUUUGGUGCGUGCUAACAACAAAUUUUAGAAACUGUAUUUAACCAUGAAGCUAGUUUGAGUCAGCCUUCCUACCUAGAAAUUAUGAUCAUGAGAUUUUCAUUGGAGAAGAUGAACUUACAGCCAAUACCACAAAGUCAUAUUUUGGUGUAACUUUAAAUAGAGGCUUUGCCAGAGGAAAGAAAAAUGUCCAGAAUGUAGCAGAAGAGAAAAUUUCAGAAAGUUAAUGGAAGAUUUAGUUAAGAAUUGGUUUGAAGAUCUCAGUAUCUAUCUCUGUCUCUCUCAGAACUGCAGGAAGUAGUUGCUAAAUUAAAGACUGCUGGCUUCUCAAGACUUACUAGAUUCUGGAAUGAGAUCUAACAAGAAGGACGAGACUUUCUUGACUGCGUGAUUUAAUAUUUCAGGUGUGUCUAGUCCUGGCCUCAGGUGUGGACACGAGGAAUAUGCGCUUUGUGCGCCACUUGCUAUUCUGCAGAGCAGAAGGAAAUUACAUUUUUUGAGCUGUGAUUAAAAUGUUAACUCUCUGGCUCCUGCAGUCUGUGAAGGCUCACGGUGUGUGUGUGUGUGUGUGUGUGUGA